UACAGAGGGUGCGAGCGUUAAUCGGAAUUACUGGGCGUAAAGCGUGCGCAGGCGGCUUUGCAAGACAGAUGGGAAAUCCCCGGGCUUAACCUGGGAACUGCAUUUGUGACUGCAUGGCUAGAGUGCGGCAGAGGGGGAUGGAAUUCCGCGUGUAGCAGUGAAAUGCGUAGAUAUGCGGAGGAACACCGAUGGCGAAGGCAAUCCCCUGGGCCUGCACUGACGCUCAUGCACGAAAGCGUGGGGAGCAAACAGG
rnacentral:rRNA from 1 species